GCCCUCUAGCUCUUUCAUGAAAGGCUGUUACUGAACAAAUGAAGAUUUAACCAGCUCAAGCAUCAAACCGCACAUUCCAGUUUGCUAAAAAGAGAUGAGUCUCACCAUGUUGCCCAGGCUGGACUUGAACUCACGGGCUCAAGCAUCCUUCCACCUCAGCCUUCCAAAAAGCUGGGAUUGCAGGCAGGAUCCACAGCACCUGGCCUCCCACCAUCUUGAAAACAAAAUGCUGAUGAGAAAACCGAAGCUCAAAGAAGAAAAAUUACUAGCCCCAAAUGGCACAGCGAGCGAGUAGAAGAG